rnacentral:tRNA from 1 species
UCGCCGUUUAGGAUGUAUUCGUCGCCGUCUUCGGUGGCGGUGGUACGGAUGGCGGCGGAGUCGGAGCCGGCGCCGGGUUCGGUGAUGGCCAU